rnacentral:rRNA from 1 species
UCCUUCGGGGGGCCGCCGUCGAGAAUAUUGCGCAAAGGAGGAAACUCUGACGCAGUGACGCCGCGUGCAGGAAGAAGGUUUUCGGAUUGUAAACUGCUUUGACAGGGAAGAAACAAGACAGACC